rnacentral:rRNA from 1 species
GACGAACGCUGGCGGCGUGCUUAACACAUGCAAGUCGAACGGACAGGCCUGCUUUUCCUUGUGGCUUGCGGGUACUCGCGUGGCGAACGGGUGAGUAACACGUGAGUGAUCUGCCCCCAAAUUGGGUAUAAGCCUGGGAAACUGGGUCUAAUUCUCUAUUGGACUGCAGGGUGCUGCCGUUGGUGGAAAACGAUCUUCUAGUGGUUGGGGAUGCGCUCGCGGACUAUCAGCUUGUUGGUGGGGUAAUGGCCUAGCAAGGCGGCGACGGGUCGCCGGCCGGAGAGAGGGGACGGCGGCACUGGGACUGAGAGAAGGCCCCGACGGCUAGCAGAGGCAGCGAUGGGUAAGAUAGGGCCGUAGGCGGAAGCGUGAUGCAGCGAGGCCGCGAUGGAGAUGACGGGCUUCGGGUUGUAAACUACUUGGGACGGCGAGGAAGCCAAGUGGUUGGAAGGGUGGUGACGGUAGUGGUAGAAAAAGCCCCGGCUAACUACGUG